GAUGAACGCUGGCGGCGUGCCUCAAACAUGCAAGUCGAGCGGGGCUAUGUAAUAUCGCAAGGUAGAACAUAGCCUAGCGGCGAACGGGUGAGUAACACGUGGGUAACCUGCCUGGAAGACAGGGAUAACGAUUCGAAAGGGUCGCUAAUACCUGAUAAUAUCCUUUCAUCGCAUGGUGAUAGGAAGAAAGGGGAAACCCGCUUUCAGAUGGGCCCACGUCCCAUCAGCUAGUUGGUAAGGUAAAGGCUUACCAAGGCGACGACGGGUAGCCGGUCUGAGAGGAUGUACGGCCACACUGGGACUGAGAUACGGCCCAGACUCCUACGGGAGGCAGCAGUUGGGAAUCUUAGGCAAUGGACGAAAGUCUGACCUAGCGACGCCGCGUGAGGGAAAAGGCCUUCGGGUUGUAAACCUCUGUCAUGGGGGAAGAAGUAAGUGACGGUACCCAAGAGGAAGCCCCUGCUAACUACGUGCCAGCCAGCCGCGGUAAAAGUCUCUAU
rnacentral:rRNA from 1 species